rnacentral:rRNA from 1 species
GACGAACGCUGGCGGCGUGCUUAACACAUGCAAGUCGAACGGAAAGGCCCUACUUGCAGGGUGCUCGAGUGGCGAACGGGUGAGUAACACGUGGGUGAUCUGCCCCUUACUUUGGGAUAAGCCCGGGAAACUGGGUCUAAUACUGGAUAGGACCAUGCUGUAGGUGGUGUGGUGGAAAGAUUAGUUUCGGUAAGGGAUGAGCUCGCGGCCUAUCAGCUUGUUGGUGGGGUAAUGGCCUACCAAGGCGUCGACGGGUAGCCGGCCUGAGAGGGUGGACGGCCACAUUGGGACUGAGAUACGGCCCAGACUCCUACGGGAGGCAGCAGUGGGGAAUAUUGCACAAUGGGCGCAAGCCUGAUGCAGCGACGCCGCGUGGGGGAUGACGGCCUUCGGGUUGUAAACUCCUUUCAGCCAUGACGAAGCCCUUGUGGUGACGGUAGUGGUAGAAGAAGCACCGGCUAACUACGUG